GAGCGAGCGUCUCUCCAUGCUCAUCCUCUCCUGUUUCCAGUUUACUGCCCAGAAGCUCGAGCAGGUCCUGAGGCAGAGGAAGGGAUUCAGCCCCGAGGGUUUUACUGCCAAGGGCGGUGUCGGCGGAGCUGGAGCGGUUGGUGCAGAGGCUGAGCCAGGAUGGGACCCUCCGGGACUGUGUGGAGGAUCCCAAGGGGAAUUCCCUGGACUCGGCUCUGGAUGAACCCGUG